AUUGAACGCUGGCGGCAGGCCUAACACAUGCGAGUCGAGCGGAUGAAGGGGGCUUGCUCCUGGAUUCAGCGGCGGACGGGUGAGUAAUGCCUAGGAAUCUGCCUGGUAGUGGGGGAUAACGUCCGGAAACGGGCGCUAAUACCGCAUACGUCCUGAGGGAGAAAGUGGGGGAUCUUCGGACCUCACGCUAUCAGAUGAGCCUAGGUCGGAUUAGCUAGUUGGUGGGGUAAAGGCCUACCAAGGCGACGAUCCGUAACUGGUCUGAGAGGAUGAUCAGUCACACUGGAACUGAGACACGGUCCAGACUCCUACGGGAGGCAGCAGUGGGGAAUAUUGGACAAUGGGCGAAAGCCUGAUCCAGCCAUGCCGCGUGUGUGAAGAAGGUCUUCGGAUUGUAAAGCACUUUAAGUUGGGAGGAAGGGCAGUAAGUUAAUACCUUGCUGUUUUGACGUUACCAACAGAAUAAGCACCGGCUAACUUCGUG
rnacentral:rRNA from 1 species